rnacentral:tRNA from 1 species
GCCCUCGUAGCUCAGUUGGACAGAGCGUCGGGUUUCUAACCCGCAGGUCGUAGGUUCGACCCCUACCGAGGGUA